AGCGAACGCUGGCGGCAGGCCUAACACAUGCAAGUCGAACGAACCUUUCGGGGUUAGUGGCGGACGGGUGAGUAACACGUGGGAACGUGCCUUUAGGUUCGGAAUAACUCAGGGAAACUUGUGCUAAUACCGAAUGUGCCCUUCGGGGGAAAGAUUAAUCGCCUUUAGAGCGGCCCGCGUCUGAUUAGCUAGUUGGUUGAGGUAAUGGCUCACCAAGGCGACGAUAAGUAGCUGGUCUGAGAGGAUGAUCAGCCACAUUGGGACUGAGACACGGCCCAAACUCCUACGGGAGGCAGCAGUGGGGAAUCUUGCGCAAUGGGCGAAAGCCUGACGCAGCCAUGCCGCGUGAAUGAUGAAGGUCUUAGGAUUGUAAAAUUCUUUCACCGGGGACGAUAAUGACGGUACCCGGAGAAGAAGCCCCGGCUAACUUCGUG
rnacentral:rRNA from 1 species